CCUACGGGAGGCAGCAGUCGAGAAUCAUUCACAAUGGGGGAAACCCUGAUGGUGCGACGCCGCGUGGGGGAAUGAAGGUCUUCGGAUUGUAAACCCCUGUCAUGUGGGAGCAAAUUAAAAAGAUAGUACCACAAGAGGAAGAGACGGCUAACUCUGUGCCAGCAGCCGCGGUAAUACAGAGGUCUCAAGCGUUGUUCGGAAUCACUGGGCGUAAAGGGUGCGUAGGCGGUUUCGUAAGUCGUGUGUGAAAGGCGCGGGCUCAACCCGCGGACGGCACAUGAUACUGCGAGACUAGAGUAAUGGAGGGGUAGCCGGAAUUCUCGGUGUAGCAGUGAAAUGCGUAGAUAUCGGGAGGAACACUCGUGGCGAAGGCGGGUUCCUGGACAUUAACUGACGCUGAGGCACGAAGGCCAGGGGAGCGAAAGGGAUUAGAUACCCGUGUAGUC
rnacentral:rRNA from 1 species